CCCCACUGGCCCGCGGGUCGCGCGAGCUCUCUCGACCGACAGCCCCACCGCCGCCAGCGCAGGAGGGGGCUGGAGGGCUGCAAGCGUCCCGGGCCCGAGGCCGGUUUGUGGCCUCACCUCGGGACGGGUACCCAGGUAGCUGGAGAGUCAAGAAGUCUGUCCCUCCCGCUUCCAGUGGACGACCCUCAGACCCUGUCAGAAAAGUUGUCUCGGUUGCCUGGCCUCAGGUGUCUCCCCAGGUUUGCCUUAGUUACCUGGCGCCCCAGCCUUGACCGGAAAGAGCGCGGAAGGGAGAGACAAGAAACUGAGUCCUAAUGAAACUGGCCCAAUACCCCGCCGGUAGUAAAUGGCAGAGUCGAGAUUUCAACCCAUACCACCAACUAACUACAGGACUGUAUUCUCCUGUGGGCUUGAAUACCCUCCGUGAGAAGUCAGCUAUUGAAGGUGGAAUUGAUUUUUGGAAACAGCCUAACGCAGCCAUGACUCCUUCCCAAACUGAGGGUCCUCUCAUUCUGGGGCUAGGAAAAGAAAAGGACUUACCUCGUUCAUCCAGAAGGAUAUUCUCCAUCUGAAAAAUCACAGGUGGUAAGUUAUUAGUCAUCCUCUUCCUUUCAACCUUCUUUCAUCAUGUAUACCUCCCAGCUGAGGAAGACGCCCUAUUCAUCAUUCAGGCCUAUACUUUGAUGGCCCUUGCCCAAAUCCUUAGCACUCCUGAGGGCCCCAAGGUCAGCUGUUCUCAGCUCCCCACUGCCUUCUUAGACCUGUUGGAACUUCUUACUGAGGCCCCACUUCAGACAAAGAAAAAAGCACUUAACUCUACCUUCACAUCUCGAUGGAUGAUGCCCAAAUCAUGGAGAUAGCCUGUGGAUGACAAGUAUGGGGUGUGCUAAAGCUCUCCUGUCUUUCCAGAUUCCCUGGUAGUUCCCAUCCCAUUCCUAUCCCUGUUCUUUGACCUCCAGAGUUAAUAUCAAAUCUCUUCUCUCUGCCCCUCCCUCUUAAUUCUUCCCUCAUUUCCAUUACCAUUCUUAUUUCACUUACACAGCACCAGAACCAGUUCAGCAGCAAAGAGGCGGAUGGAGGCCUCAGCAAAGCAGCCAACAGAGGACCACAGGGAGUAAAGCUGCCGUAUCUGAGCCACAUGCUGCCGCACAGCCUCCUGCAAAUGUAAUAUGCUGCUGCGCUGUUCCUCAGGAUUGCUAGAAAUCUCAAGCUGGAACCUCACCCGCUGCUUCUUCUCACUGUGCUCCUGAAUGAAUGGA